GCAUUUACCUGGGAGGGGAGUGAGCGCAACCUCAAAGGUGGAUUUCAUUUCUCAGGGCGAGGCUUAUCCGGAUGUGCUGACCCCUCAAUUUCCCCAAAUGUGGGAGCUGACUGCAUAAUUUGUGGGAGAGGAGACUGUGUUCCUGCUCCCCCCUG
rnacentral:snRNA from 1 species